rnacentral:rRNA from 1 species
UACGGAGGGAGCUAGCGUUGUUCGGAAUUACUGGGCGUAAAGCGCGCGUAGGCGGCUUUGUAAGUUAGAGGUGAAAGCCCGGGGCUCAACCCCGGAACUGCCUUUAAGACUGCAUCGCUUGAAUCCGGGAGAGGGAUGCGGAAUUCCAGGUGUAGCGGUGAAAUGCGUAGAUAUUGGGAAGAACACCAGUGGCGAAGGCGGUUCUCUGGGACGGUACUGACGCUGAGACGCGAAAGCGUGGGGAGCGAACAGG